GAAGCUAUAGGUUAAUAAAUAAAAAACCAUCGGCCUUCAAAGCUGAAAAUGAGUGAGUCUAGCUUUGA
rnacentral:tRNA from 1 species